rnacentral:snRNA from 1 species
AUUCUCAUCAGCAUAUAUGCUGGAACCAGAAUGACACAGGAGAGAUUAGCAUGGCCUUACAUAACGAUGAGACCCAGAUUCCUGAAGCAUCCCCUAUUUUU